rnacentral:rRNA from 1 species
GAUGAACGCUGGCGGCGUGCCUAAUACAUGCAAGUCGAGCGAACAGACGAGGAGCUUGCUCCUCUGACGUUAGCGGCGGACGGGUGAGUAACACGUGGAUAACCUACCUAUAAGACUGGGAUAACUUCGGGAAACCGGAGCUAAUACCGGAUAAUAUAUUGAACCGCAUGGUUCAAUAGUGAAAGACGGUUUUGCUGUCACUUAUAGAUGGAUCCGCGCCGCAUUAGCUAGUUGGGAAGGUAACGGCUUACCAAGGCAACGAGGCGUAGCCGACCUGAGAGGGUGAUCGGCCACACUGGAACUGAGACACGGUCCAGACUCCUACGGGAGGCAGCAGUAGGGAAUCUUCCGCAAUGGGCGAAAGCCUGACGGAGCAACGCCGCGUGAGUGAUGAAGGUCUUCGGAUCGUAAAACUCUGUUAUUAGGGAAGAACAAAUGUGUAAGUAACUAUGCACGUCUUGACGGUACCUAAUCAGAAAGCCACGGCUAACUACGUG